AUUGAACGCUGGCGGGAUGCCUAACACAUGCAAGUCGAACGAGUGGCGGACGGGUGAGUAAUGUAUGGGAAACUGCCUGAUGGAGGGGGAUAACUACUGGAAACGGUAGCUAAUACCGCAUACUAUCGGAUAGGCCAAUAUGGGAUUAGCUAGUAGGUGGGGUAAAGGCUCACCAAGGCGACGAUCCCUAGCUGGUCUGAGAGGAGGACCAGCCACACUGGAACUGAGACACGGUCCAGACUCCUACGGGAGGCAGCAGUGGGGAAUUUUGCACAAUGGGCGUAACCCUGAUGCAGCCAUCCCGCGUGUAUGAAGAAGGCCUUCGGGUUGUAAAGUACUUUCGGCGGGGAUGCGGUAUCUGCAGAAUAAGCACCGGCUAACUCCGUGCCAGCAGCCGCGGUAAUAC
rnacentral:rRNA from 1 species